AGUGGGGAAUUUUGGACAAUGGGCGCAAGCCUGAUCCAGCAAUGCCGCGUGAGUGAAGAAGGCCUUCGGGUUGUAAAGCUCUUUUGUCAGGGAAGAAACGGCUGAGGAUAAUACCUUCGGCUAAUGACGGUACCUGAAGAAUAAGCACCGGCUAACUACGUGCCAGCAGCCGCGGUAAUACGUAGGGUGCAAGCGUUAAUCGGAAUUACUGGGCGUAAAGCGUGCGCAGGCGGUUUUGUAAGUCUGACGUGAAAGCCCCGGGCUCAACCUGGGAAUUGCGAUGGAGACUGCAAGGCUUGAAUCUGGCAGAGGGGGGUAGAAUUCCACGUGUAGCAGUGAAAUGCGUAGAGAUGUGGAGGAACACCGAUGGCGAAGGCAGCCCCCUGGGUCAAGAUUGACGCUCAUGCACGAAAGCGUGGGGAGCAAA
rnacentral:rRNA from 1 species